rnacentral:rRNA from 1 species
UACGGAGGGUGCAAACGUUGCUCGGAAACACUGGGCGUAAAGGGCGUGUAGGCGGGAGAGAAAGUCGGGCGUGAAAUCCCUGGGCUCAACCCAGGAACUGCACUCGAAACUUCUUUUCUUGAGUGCCGGAGAGGAAAGCGGAAUACCUGGUGUAGAGGUGAAAUUCGUAGAUAUCUGGAGGAACACCGGUGGCGAAGGCGGCAUCCUGGACCGACACUGACACUGAGGAGCGAAAGCCAGGGGAGCAAACGGG